rfam:Picoides pubescens contig76176, whole genome shotgun sequence.
CUCAAGGCUCUUUUUAGAGCUACUGAAACAAAUAAGAUGAAAGAAG